rnacentral:rRNA from 1 species
AACGUAGGUGGCAAGCGUUAAUCGGAAUUACUGGGCGUAAAGCGCGCGUAGGCGGUUCGAUAAGUCGGAUGUGAAAGCCCUGGGCUCAACCUGGGAAUGCCAUUCGAUACUGUCGAGCUAGAGUAUGGUAGAGGAAAGCGGAAUUCCACAUGUAGCGGUGAAAUGCGUAGAUAUGUGGAGGAACAUCAGUGGCGAAGGCGGCUUUCUGGACUAAUACUGACGCUGAGGUGCGAAAGCGUGGGGAGCAAACAGG